rnacentral:lncRNA from 1 species
AUGUUGCUGGCAUUACUCCUGUGUUAGAAGAUAAUUACUGGACUCAUUCCUGACAUGUAACAUUUAUUUUCUUCAGGGAGGUGGGUGGACAAGCACACAAUGCUCACUGCUGAACUACUGAAAUUGGGUGGAUCAGAAACAGAAUUGGAGCUAUUUUAUCUGGACCUAAUUAAACAACCUUCAUUACUGGCAGGCACAGAGUUUCUGCAGUGUUUUGUGUGGUGUAUUUGGGGUGAAUUCCAGUCAUGCAAAUGAGGCCAGCAUGAGGCAGAUGC